UCUUCUGCUCCUGAUAAGCCCCACCCCCCACAGGUCCACACACACCAUAAACACAACCCUGGUCUGUGCAUACUUCCCAACACCCUGGAGUGUACCCCGAUACCCCACUGCAGAGACCCCCACCUCUCCACCAAUGCCACACCUGGUCCUCACACAGGUGGUGCCCCAAAGAGGUGAACACACCCUCCUGCCUGUAGAGGAUCAAGGCACCCAAUCAAUGCAGGCCGACAAGUAGCCUGAGGGUUUGCUGUUGGGUAGGGCUGGUCCCUAGGGUGUGCUGCCUACCCUGGCUGAACUAGAUUAAAUCUGCACUUCAGUGGGUGUGGCAGACCCUUGGGCUAACAGGCCAGGGGAAGAACUUCAAUGGUGUCUGCCAGGGUCUGUGUCAGCAUGCCUGGACUAAGUGACAACAAUGGCCACCACCAAUGUCUCAGUCUCCAGAGAGGUCUCACAUCACAAUGAGAUGCACUCAGAGCCCACCAGGGUAAGGGAAUCCACUGUCCGAGACCAGAGGAAUAGAUAACUUCAAAGAUUAAUAGCAGUAUUGCCUUCUGAGAAGGUAGCAAGCUGCACUUUGAGGAAACAGCCCAAAUUUGGAGGGCUGGCAUCAACAGAGAGCCUCUGAGUACGCUUCGCUGGUGAGGUUUUCUACCAUUGCAGCUCCACCAUUGGGUCAGGAGAAUCACAAGCUAUCAGCCACACAGCUAUUAACUUUGAGUCAGGAGGACUGCAUGAUUCUGAGAAGAUCGUUAUUACAGCUUCAUUAACAAACGGAGUAUUUCAAGCAUGUUGUAGUAUGAAGUUCUUUCUGGCCAAGAGAUAUAUAAAUUCUGAGCCAAGGACCUGGAGAAGCAGGAAAUCUGAGCUAUCCAUCCUUGGAGUGUGAAAAAGGACAGCAGAGAUGGUCUUAGAGCAAACAGACCACCCAGAAUAUGUCUGUGGUUUCUCAGUGAGUCUGAACCGUGACGCUACUGUCGCUGUCUUCAUAUUGGCAAGGAGAGGACGUAGGGAUUAUGCAAACAGCCUUUUCUACCUGUGUUUUUUGGUUUCCCUGAAGGUCUCCCUCAGGAAACUUGGGGAUAAAAAGGCAGCCCAUUUUCAAAUGAAGGAUGCAAAAUUUUGGUGUGGAUCAUUGGCCACCAGCGUGAGCAAUGGAUAAUUUAUUUAUUCUGCUUUGCAUUGUGUCUUGUGAGAUGAUUCAAAUUCAGUAUGUGAAUCCAUAAUUGCCUGGGUGUUAAUGAUGUUGCACAGGAAGGGUUAUGCUGCUACCCAAGCUAAAGAGCUAUUUUAAGUUUGGGCCCCAAUUAAGAAGAGGCUUUUCCUGUUAAUGUGGCUGAUAACCUCCCUCACAUUGUCAAAGCGCGUUAAUAUUCACUAAAUACAUUUUGUAUGUGUUCAUACAGUAAAUGUAUACGUAUACAGAGAGAGAGAGAAAGAGAGAAUAUAAGAAUAGUAUAUUACAGUUCAUUCUCAUUGCAGAAAGGAUUCAUUUAUUCUUAAAUCAUUUUGUCCUCAUGAGGUUUAAGUAAAAAUAAACUCUUCAAAUACAUUAAGUAUGCCUGCCUAGACUUAGUGAGUCACUAAACUUUUUAAGUUGUCUUCUCUUCUCAAAUCUUCUACGCCAUCUCUCCUGUCAAAGCAUAUGUCUCAUAUGCUUGAGAAAAUAGAAGCAGUGGAAGAUGAACUUGCUCACUUUCCUACUAAAGGAAUUUCCAACAGACAUAUUACUGCCUGCGCCUUCCCUCCUAUUACUCUGGUUGAGUGCUCUCUAUUGACUCCCAUGAAGGACCAAGUUC
rnacentral:lncRNA from 1 species